CUCCACCUUUCUCUACAAACCCUAACCCUAACCUUCAUUUCAUCCACCGCUCCUCCACCGCUCCUCCACGACUCCUCCAUCGUUGACGACAUUAGAUCCGACACCAGAUCCGACACCAGAUCCGACACAACAUCGAUUUCUAUGGCUUCUUUCCCGGUGGCUUCAAGAUCCAACACUAUCUCAGUAGAUCCGACACUAUUUCAGUAGAUCUGACACCAGAUCUACUGGUUUGACUGUAGGAUCUUCCUUUUGGUUGUGGGUUCGUCAACGAUGGUGCUUGUGGGUGGAAGAUCUGGCAAGAUCUAUGGUUUAUUUGUAGUAGAUCUGUUCUUUGAGUUCCACACUAUCUAUUGGGUACAAUUAGCCCCAUGGUUUAGUUUAGUGCAACGGUGAAUGCAGGCGGUGAACGGUUAAAAAGCCAGAAGCCGAGGUUACCGAAAUUCAAAAUGUGCUGAUUUGGCAAAUUUGGUAAACGUGGCGGCUCUCAAGGUGGCAAUGGACGGUGCAAAAUCGGUAAGAGUCUGGUCAACUGGGUCCACACGAGUCGGUUACGAGAUCAUGGGAAUGUAUAAGGGCGCCAAUAAUUUAUUUAAAAUUACGUAUCUGUUUUGGGUUUGGGGCAUUGGUGCUGAGUUUUUACCUAAAAUGGUGUAGUUGGAAAAAUUAUUUACCUAAAUGGGUACUUUGAAAAUUAUUUAUCAAAAUGGGUUUUUUUUAAACUAAUUUUUUCUCACUCCUAAUCUUUUUGGAUAAAAUAAUUUCUUUUCAAAAAUAUGUUAUUUAACAUGAGUUAAAGGAAAAUUUAUAGUUCAAUUAAAAAACAAUUCGUGUGACUUUGAAAAAAUUAUUUGAAUGUUAUUUAAAUAAUUAUUUGAGUUUUUUCCUAAAAUGGUGUAGUUGGAAAAAUUAUUUACCUAAAUGGGUACUUUGAAAAUUAUUUAUCAAAAUGGGUUUUUUUUAAACUAAUUUUUUCUCACUCCUAAUCUUUUUGGAUAAAAUAAUUUCUUUUCAAAAAUAUGUUAUUUAACAUGAGUUAAAGGAAAAUUUAUAGUUCAAUUAAAAAACAAUUCGUGUGACUUUGAAAAAAUUAUUUGAAUGUUAUUUAAAUUUUUUAUUAAUAUUUAUAUUUAUUUGAAUGUUGUCUAUGAGGGACAUGGUGGACCGGAGACGUCAAGAUUCGUUAACGAGAAUCUGUUUGCUAAUCUCAAGAGAUUUGCGUCUGAGGAUCAAGAUAUGUCUGCGAAUGUUAUCAAGAUAUGAGUUUCUUUCGGUUGUAAGAGAACAAUGGCGGAUAUGCCCGCAAAUAGCGUCUGUGGGGACGUGCUGUUCGGUUGUAAGAGAACAAUUGAUAGUGGUGUUAGGGAGAGCUGAUCGAGAAUGCAGGCGGUGAACGGUUAAAAAGCCAGAAGUCGAAGGUUACUCGAAAGGUGCUGAUUUGGCAAAUUUGGUAAACGUGGCGGCUCUCAAGGUGGCGGCUCUCAAGGUGGCAAUGGACGGUGCAAAAUCGGUUGGGAAUGCUUUUAUUCAGCAGUAUUAUCAUAUACUGCACCAGUCACCUGGGCUUGUUCAUCGUUUUUAUCAGGAUAUCAGUAAACUUGGUCGGCCCGAGGAAGAUGGUUCUAUGAGCAUAACCACUACUAUGGAUGCAAUCAAUGCUAAAAUCUUGUCACUUAACUAUGGUGACUUCAAGGCUGAGAUCAAAUCCGUUGAUGCUCAAGAAUCCCUAAACGGUGGAGUCAGCGUUCUGGUAACUGGAUACAUGACUGGAAUGGAUAAUAUUUAUCCGUUUAGUUUAGGGCAACGGUGAAUGCAGGCGGUGAACGGUUAAAAAGCCAGAAGCCGAGGUUACCGAAAUUCAAAAUGUGCUGAUUUGGCAAAUUUGGUAAACGUGGCGGCUCUCAAGGUGGCAAUGGACGGUGCAAAAUCGCUGUAAAGAACAGAGUUUACUGUUGUCUCUUGCUUGCUUCAGUCUCUAUAAGUACUUCAUGAAGCUCAACACUCUACAAACCCUCAACUACACUCAACUGACUUACUGCUUUUACAUCUACUGUUGUAUGAAAGAGAGCAUGCUUGCUUCAGUCUCUACAAAUACUUCAUCAAGCUCAACACUCUACAAACACUCAACUGAGUCGAAUUAAACUUUCAAAUUAAUAUAUUGACUCUUUGCAUCUGGAUCUUGCGUUGUUUCUCGGCUCUCACAUCAAGGUUUCACAUUUUUUGUCGUCUGUAACAAAAUUCUGCCUCUUGCAUUGUUGUAAGUUCUUCUAAAUUUCUUGGUUUUUUUGUAACUUUUAACUGUGGUUUUUGGAUCUGUAUUGUUUAACUGCC